GGGGAAUAUUGGACAAUGGGCGAAAGCCUGAUCCAGCCAUGCCGCGUGAGUGAUGAAGGCCCUAGGGUUGUAAAGCUCUUUUGUGCGGGAAGAUAAUGACGGUACCGCAAGAAUAAGCCCCGGCUAACUUCGUGCCAGCAGCCGCGGUAAUACGAAGGGGGCUAGCGUUGCUCGGAAUCACUGGGCGUAAAGGGUGCGUAGGCGGGUUUCUAAGUCAGAGGUGAAAGCCUGGAGCUCAACUCCAGAACUGCCUUUGAUACUGGAAGUCUUGAGUUCGGGAGAGGUAAGUGGAACUGCGAGUGUAGAGGUGAAAUUCGUAGAUAUUCGCAAGAACACCAGUGGCGAAGGCGGCUCACUGGCCCGAUACUGACGCUGAGGCACGAAAGCGUGGGGAGCAAACA
rnacentral:rRNA from 1 species